UACGUAGGGGGCUAGCGUUGUCCGGAUUUACUGGGUGUAAAGGGUGCUCAGGUGGGUUUGUAAGUCAGAGGUGAAAUCCCAAAGCUUAACUUUGGAGCGGCCUUUGAUACUGCAAAUCUUGAGUUUGAGAGAGGGUAAUGGAAUAUCUGGUGUAGCAGUGAAAUGCGUAGAUAUCAGAUAGAACACCAAUGGCGAAGGCAGUUACCUGGCUCACAACUGACGCUAAAGCACGAAAGUGUGGGGAGCAAACAGG
rnacentral:rRNA from 1 species